AAUCUUGCGCAAUGGAGGGAACUCUGACGCAGCGACCCCGCGUGAGCGAUGAAGGUUUUCGGAUUGUAAAGCUCUGUCCCUGGGGCAGGAGGCGACCAUAUAUGGUCACUUGCGGGUACCCACGGCGGAAGCCCCGGCUAACUACGUGUCAGCAGCCGCGGUAAUACGUAGGGGGCAAGCGUUGUCCGGAAUUAUUGGGCGUAAAGGGUGCGUAGGCGGCCUUUUAAGUCAGAUGUGAAAGACCACGGCUUAACCGUGGGGUUGCAUUUGAAACUGGAGGGCUUGAGUAUCGGAGAGGGUAGUGGAAUUCCCAGUGUAGCGGUGGAAUGCGUAGAUAUUGGGAGGAACACCAGUGGCGAAGGCGACUACCUGGACGAAAACUGACGCUGAGGCACGAAAGCUAGGGGAGCAAACA
rnacentral:rRNA from 1 species